rnacentral:lncRNA from 1 species
AAAAAAAAAAAAAAAAAGAAAAAAAACAAAGAAAAAAAAAUAAAACAUUAACCAAAAACGUUUUUAAUACAUAGAGAACAAUUUUUAAUUUUAUCUGAUGAAACAAAAAAUAAUGAUUAACAUUUAUCUGAAAUGACGUAAGUUACUGUAAUUGUAUAUUUUAAUAAUGACUACUUUUUUUUAAGUAAAAGAUUCGUUAUUAUAAAAAAAAUAUGGUAAAGGAAAACCUAUAUAUUUUUUGUAUGUUUAUUAGAAAGUAACUAUCAAAAUGGAAAAAACAAAAAAAAAUAACAAAAAUAUAGAAAAUGAAAAUGAACAGGAAGGAACUAAUGUGACAGAAAUAUUCACCGAAAAUCCAAAGGCUGUUAUAAAAACUAGCAAAAAGAAUAAAUAUAAGAAAGCCAAACAGAAGAAAAAAAACAAAAAAACUUGUAACAAUAAUGCAAACGCACAAAACAAUACAAUUUGUAACAAUAAUACAAACGUACAAAACAAUAUAUGUUAUAACUAUAAUGCAAACGUAAAAAAAUAUACAAAUAAUGGUAAUAAAAGUAAAAAAAAUUAUGAAAAAAAAGUUUUAGAUAAUUGGAAUAAAAAACCUUUAAUAUGUACAUAUUAUUUUUAUAAAGGCAAGUGUAUGCAUAAUGAAAAAUGUUUAUUUUCACAUGAUGUUGAACCUUUAUAUAAGAUAUCUAACUUAUGUAAAUAUUUUGUUAAAGGAGCUUGUUCAAAAGAAAAUUGUGUAUUUUCACAUGAUCCAACAAUAUUUUUUUGUCGAAAUAAUGUUUUAAGUAAUAGCUGUCACAAGCCAGCAUGUAAAUUUAAGCAUGUUAAAAUUAAUAGUACUAUUACAAGUGUCGAAGACUAUAAUAUGGAAGUGGAUAAUAUAUUAACAAAAGAUGACAAAAUAAGAUUUAUAUAUAAUAAUAAACAUUAUUUAACUGAAUAUCUUUUUAAUAAUUAUUUUCCAUACGAUAAACUCAAUGAAGUUGAUGAAAACACAUUUACACGAAAAGAUGAAUACCCUUGGUUUAUUAACGAACUUAUAGAUUUGAUUCGGAUGGAUUUUAAAAUGGAUAAAACUAAUUCAUUUUUUAAUGUUUUGAAUAGGUUUAAGCAAAUGAGAUUGCUUAUUCCUGUGCGUCCAAAUGGAAUUAAUGUAAAUUAUAGUAUUACACUACAGAAUAAUAGUGCAUCAGGUAUAUACAAAAACAAAAAUUUUAACAAUAACAAUACAUUUUAUAAUAAUAAUAAUGAUAAUAAUAAUAAUAAUGAUAAUAAUAAUAAUAAUAAUAAUAAUGAUAAUAAUAAUGAUAAUAAUGAUAAUAAUAAUGAUAAUAAUAAUGAUAAUAAUA